rnacentral:rRNA from 1 species
UACAGAGGGUGCGAGCGUUAAUCGGAAUUACUGGGCGUAAAGCGUGCGUAGACGGUUAUCUAAGUCGGAUGUGAAAGCCCCGGGCUCAACCUGGGAAUUGCAUUCGAGACUGAAUAGCUAGGGUACGGUAGAGGGAAGUGGAAUUUACGGUGUAGCAGUGAAAUGCGUAGAUAUCGUAAGGAAGACCAGUGGCGAAGGCGAGUCUCUGGACAGUUACCGACGCUGAGGCACGAAGGUCAGGGGAGCAAACGGG